CACGUAGGCGGCGCUGUAAGUUGGACGUGAAAUCUCUCGGCUCAACUGGGAGAGGUCGUUCAAUACUGUGGUGCUCGAGGUUGGAAGAGGAGAGUGGAAUUCCCGGUGUAGUGGUGGAAUGCGUAGAUAUCGGGAGGAACACCAGUGGCGAAGGCGGCUCUCUGGUCCACACCUGACGCUGAGGUGCGAAAGCGUGGGUAGCGAACAGGAUUAGAUACCCUGGUAGUCC
rnacentral:rRNA from 1 species